rnacentral:tRNA from 6 species
GCCCUCAUAGUUAAACGGAUAUAACAGGCCUCUCCUAAGGGCCAAUUGCAGGUUCAAUUCCUACUGGGGGCACCA